rnacentral:ncRNA from 1 species
AUAACAAUAGGGCACACUCGUUGAAAAACGGGGUCGCAAAACUACAGGGGCUAUCACAUUUCCAAUUGGAUAUGUUAUGCCAGCCAGUUACCGAA